GAACUGAAGAGUUUGAUCAUGGCUCAGAUUGAACGCUGGCGGCAGGCCUAACACAUGCAAGUCGAGCGGUAGAGAGAAGCUUGCUUCUCUUGAGAGCGGCGGACGGGUGAGUAAUACCUAGGAAUCUGCCUGAUAGUGGGGGAUAACGUUCGGAAACGGACGCUAAUACCGCAUACGUCCUACGGGAGAAAGCAGGGGACCUUCGGGCCU
rnacentral:rRNA from 5 species